rnacentral:rRNA from 1 species
GAUGAACGCUGGCGGCGUGCCUAAUACAUGCAAGUCGAGCGAACAGACGAGGAGCUUGCUCCUCUGACGUUAGCGGCGGACGGGUGAGUAACACGUGGAUAACCUACCUAUAAGACUGGGAUAACUUCGGGAAACCGGAGCUAAUACCGGAUAACAUGUUGAACCGCAUGGUUCAACAGUGAAAGACGGUCUUGCUGUCACUUAUAGAUGGAUCCGCGCCGCAUUAGCUAGUUGGUAAGGUAACGGCUUACCAAGGCAACGAUGCGUAGCCGACCUGAGAGGGUGAUCGGCCACACUGGAACUGAGACACGGUCCAGACUCCUACGGGAGGCAGCAGUAGGGAAUCUUCCGCAAUGGGCGAAAGCCUGACGGAGCAACGCCGCGUGAGUGAUGAAGGUUUUCGGAUCGUAAAACUCUGUUAUUAGGGAAGAACAAAUGUGUAAGUAACUAUGCACGUCUUGACGGUACCUAAUCAGAAAGCCACGGCUAACUACGUG